rnacentral:rRNA from 1 species
GACGAACGCUGGCGGCGUGCCUAAUACAUGCAAGUCGAACGCACAGUUUAUACCUUAGCUUGCUACACCAUUGACUGUGAGUUGCGAACGGGUGAGUUACGCGUAGCUAACCUGCCUGGUAGCGGGGGGUAACUGUUGGUAACGCUAGCUAAUACCGCAUAAUAUUAAUUAUUGCAUGGUAAUUUACUGAAAGGUGCAAUUGCACCACUACCAGAUGGACCUUCGGUGGAUUAGCUAGUAGGCGAGGUAACGGCGCACGUAGGCGAGGAUACAUAGCCGACCGGCGAUGGUGGGCGGCCGGACUGGGAGUGAGACAGGGCCCAGAGGGCUACGGGAGGCAGCAGGAGGGAAACGGGGGGAAGCGGCGGAAGACUGAGCGAGCAACGCCGCGGGAGUGAAGAAGGGUGUCGGGUCGUAAAGGUCGGUUGUAAGAGAAGAACGGGUGUGAGAGUGGAAAGUUCACACUGUGACGGUAUCUGACCAGAAAGAAACGGCUAACUACGUG